ACGCUGGCGGCGUGCCUAAUACAUGCAAGUCGAACGAGAGCGACCGGUGCUUGCACUGGUCAAUCUAGUGGCGAACGGGUGAGUAACACGUGGGUAACCUGCCCAUCAGAGGGGGAUAACAUUCGGAAACGGAUGCUAAAACCGCAUAGGUCUUCGAACCGCAUGGUUUGAAGAGGAAAAGAGGCGCAAGCUUCUGCUGAUGGAUGGACCCGCGGUGCAUUAGCUAGUUGGUGAGGUAACGGCUCACCAAGGCCGUGAUGCAUAGCCGACCUGAGAGGGUGAUCGGCCACAUUGGGACUGAGACACGGCCCAAACUCCUACGGGAGGCAGCAGUAGGGAAUCUUCCGCAAUGGACGCAAGUCUGACGGAGCAACGCCGCGUGAGUGAAGAAGGUUUUCGGAUCGUAAAACUCUGUUGUUAGAGAAGAACAAGUGCUAGAGUAACUGUUAGCGCCUUGACGGUAUCUAACCAGAGAGCCACGGCUAACUACGUGCCAGCAGCCGCGGUAAUACGUAGGUGGCAAGCGUUGUCCGGAUUUAUUGGGCGUAAAGCGAGCGCAGGCGGUUCCUUAAGUCUGAUGUGAAAGCCCCCGGCUCAACCGGGGAGGGUCAUUGGAAACUGGGGAACUUGAGUGCAGAAGAGGAGAGUGGAAUUCCAUGUGUAGCGGUGAAAUGCGUAGAUAUAUGGAGGAACACCAGUGGCGAAGGCGACUCUCUGGUCUGUAACUGACGCUGAGGCUCGAAAGCGUGGGUAGCAAACAGGAUUAGAUACCCUGGUAGUCCACGCCGUAAACGAUGAGUGCUAAGUGUUGGAGGGUUUCCGCCCUUCAGUGCUGCAGUUAACGCAUUAAGCACUCCGCCUGGGGAGUACGACCGCAAGGUUGAAACUCAAAGGAAUUGACGGGGACCCG
rnacentral:rRNA from 1 species